AGGGUGCAAGCGUUAAUCGGAAUUACUGGGCGUAAGCGUGCGUGCAGGCGGUUCGGAAAGAAAGAUGUGAAAUCCCAGAGCUUAACUUUGGAACUGCAUUUUUUAACUACCGAGCUAGAGUGUGUCAGAGGGAGGUAAAUUCCGCGUGUAGCAGAAAUGCGUAGAUAUGCGGAGGAACACCGAUGGCGAAGGCAGCCUCCUGGGAUAACACUGACGCUCAUGCACGAAAGCGUGGGGAGCAAACAGGAUACACCUGGUGGUCCACGCCCUAAACGAUGUCACCAAUGUUGGGGCCUUUCGGGCUCGGUAGCGCAGCUAACGCAGGAAGUUGACCGCCUGGGGAGUACGUCGCAAGAUUAAAACUCAAAGGAAUUGACGGGGACCCGCACAAGCGGUGGAUGAUGUGGGAUUAAUUCGAUGAACGCGAAAAAACCUUACCUGUCUUGACAUGUCUGGAAUCCCGAAGAGAUUUGGGAGUGCUCGCAAGAGAACCGGAACACAGGUGCUGCAUGGCUGUCGUCAGCUCGUGUCGAGAUGUUGGGUUAAGUCCCGGCAACGAGCGCAACCCUUGUCAUUAGUUGCUACGAAAGGGCACUCUGACGAGACUGCCGGUGACAAACCGAUAGAAGGUGGGGAUGACGUCAAGUCCUCAUGGCCCUUAUGGGUAGGGCUUCACACGUCAUACAAUGGUCGGGACAGAGGGUCGCCAACCCGCGAGGGGGAGCCAAUCCCAGAAACCCGAUCGUAGUCCGGAUCGCAGUCUGCAACUCCCGACUGCGUGAAGUCAACGCGGUAAUCGCGGGACUACAUGUCGCGGUGAAUACGUUCCCGGGUCUUGUACACACCUGCUCCGCCUACACCAUGGGAGUGGGUUUUACCAGAAGUAGUUAGCCUAACCGUAAGGAGGGCGAUUACCACGGUAGGAUUCAUGACUGGAAGUAAGUCAACAAGGUGA
rnacentral:misc_RNA from 1 species